rnacentral:rRNA from 1 species
UAGGGAAUCUUCGGCAAUGGACGAAAGUCUGACCGAGCAACGCCGCGUGAGUGAAGAAGGUUUUCGGAUCGUAAAACUCUGUUGUUAGAGAAGAACAAGGACGUUAGUAACUGAACGUCCCCUGACGGUAUCUAACCAGAAAGCCACGGCUAACUACGUGCCAGCAGCCGCGGUAAUACGUAGGUGGCAAGCGUUGUCCGGAUUUAUUGGGCGUAAAGCGAGCGCAGGCGGUUUCUUAAGUCUGAUGUGAAAGCCCCCGGCUCAACCGGGGAGGGUCAUUGGAAACUGGGAGACUUGAGUGCAGAAGAGGGGAGUGGAAUUCCAUGUGUAGCGGUGAAAUGCGUAGAUAUAUGGAGGAACACCAGUGGCGAAGGCGGCACUCUGGUCUGUAACUGACGCUGAGGCUCGAAAGCGUGGGGAGCAAACAGG